UAAACAUUGAUGUGAAGGUGUUUGUAUAGAUGCAAUUUCCUUACAUCAAUGGAUGAUAGUAUGAUGUGGAAACAGCAAAGGAUUUUCUUUUAAGAAAAAUGUCUGGACUGGCAACUGUCACUUACUAGGAAGUAUCUUAAUCUUUCCAAACCUCAGUUUUCUCAACUGUAGAAUGGGAAUAAUGUUGGUAAUGUCCAUAGCUACCUCACUUGACUGUAAAGAACAACUGAGAUAAAUAUGUGGCAGUAUUUGAAAAAUGAUAAAGCAUCGUGGCCUUGGUUGUUAUUCCCACUUUCUAUUAAGGUAAGUUCAGUUAUAGAACCUUGGGCCCCACUCAAGGGCCCAGUUUUCUUACCAUGGGUGUGGAAAUUGUGACUACUAAAAAACAGGCAACUUUCAUAUCUACAGGAGAUUACUAACUUAUUAUAUAGGAAUUUGACCUUCAUCUUGGUAGAGGGGAUUUCAUCCUGGUGGAUCUGCAGCCCUACCUGGAAUAUGCUGAGCUUCAUAUUGUCAACUUCAGGCAAAUGCUUUUCUCCUCCAGUACAGCCAUUCUUCUCUGCAUUCAUUGGAACACUCAGAACAUUAUUAGAUGUACCUUCUGUCUUAUCUGGAUGAACUAAAAACAGAAAUGGGUAGUUUUAUAGUUUUAUAAUAAUAUUUUAU
rnacentral:lncRNA from 1 species